GUGAACCAGUACCGUGAGGGAAAGGCGAAAAGAACCCCGGCGAGGGGAGUGAAAAAGAACCUGAAACCGUGUACGUACAAGCAGUGGGAGCACAGAGCAAUCUGUGUGACUGCGUACCUUUUGUAUAAUGGGUCAGCGACUUAUAUUCUGUAGCAAGGUUAACCGAAUAGGGGAGCCGAAGGGAAACCGAGUCUUAACUGGGCGUUAAGUUGCAGGGUAUAGACCCGAAACCCGGUGAUCUAGCCAUGGGCAGGUUGAAGGUUGGGUAACACUAACUGGAGGACCGAACCGACUAAUGUUGAAAAAUUAGCGGAUGACUUGUGGCUGGGGGUGAAAGGCCAAUCAAACCGGGAGAUAGCUGGUUCUCCCCGAAAGCUAUUUAGGUAGCGCCUCGUGAAUUCAUCUCCGGGGGUAGAGCACUGUUUCGGCAAGGGGGUCAUCCCGACUUACCAACCCGAUGCAAACUGCGAAUACCGGAGAAUGUUAUCACGGGAGACACACGGCGGGUGCUAACGUCCGUCGUGAAGAGGGAAACAACCCAGACCGCCAGCUAAGGUCCCAAAGUCAUGGUUAAGUGGGAAACGAUGUGGGAAGGCCCAGACAGCCAGGAUGUUGGCUUAGAAGCAGCCAUCAUUUAAAGAAAGCGUAAUAGCUCACUGGUCGAGUCGGCCUGCGCGGAAGAUGUAACGGGGCUAAACCAUGCACCGAAGCUGCGGCAGCGACGCUUAUGCGUUGUUGGGUAGGGGAGCGUUCUGUAAGCCUGUGAAGGUGUGCUGUGAGGCAUGCUGGAGGUAUCAGAAGUGCGAAUGCUGACAUAAGUAACGAUAAAGCGGGUGAAAAGCCCGCUCGCCGGAAGACCAAGGGUUCCUGUCCAACGUUAAUCGGGGCAGGGUGAGUCGACCCCUAAGGCGAGGCCGAAAGGCGUAGUCGAUGGGAAACAGGUUAAUAUUCCUGUACUUGGUGUUACUGCGAAGGGGGGACGGAGAAGGCUAUGUUGGCCGGGCGACGGUUGUCCCGGUUUAAGCGUGUAGGCUGGUUUUCCAGGCAAAUCCGGAAAAUCAAGGCUGAGGCGUGAUGACGAGGCACUACGGUGCUGAAGCAACAAAUGCCCUGCUUCCAGGAAAAGCCUCUAAGCAUCAGGUAACAUCAAAUCGUACCCCAAACCGACACAGGUGGUCAGGUAGAGAAUACCAAGGCGCUUGAGAGAACUCGGGUGAAGGAACUAGGCAAAAUGGUGCCGUAACUUCGGGAGAA
rnacentral:rRNA from 1 species